GGAUAGCUCAGCUGGUAGAGCAUGACACUUCAUCUCAGGGUUGUGGGUUCGAGCCCCACGUUGGACA